UACGUAGGGGACUAGCGUUGUCCGGAAUCAUUGGGCGUAAAGCGCGUGUAGGCGGUUCGGUAAGUCCGCUGUGAAAGUCGGGGGCUCAACCCUCGAAUGCCGGUGGAUACUGUCGAACUAGAGUGCGGAAGAGGCGAGUGGAAUUCCUGGUGUAGCGGUGAAAUGCGCAGAUAUCAGGAGGAACACCGGGGGCGAAGGCGGGUCUCUGGGCCGAUACUGACGCUGAGGGGCGAAAGCGUGGGGAGCGAACAGG
rnacentral:rRNA from 1 species